rnacentral:rRNA from 1 species
AACGGGGGGGACAAGUGUUACUCAGCAUAAUUGGGCGUAAAGGGUGCGUAGGUUGUUUUUUAAGUUAGAUGUAAAAUCCAAGGGCUUAACCUUUGAAAUACGUCUAAAACUAUAAAACUAGAGUAUAGCAGAGGAUAGUGGUAUUCUUAAUGUAGAGGUGAAAAUUCGUAGAUAUUAAGAGGACCUUCAAUAGGCGAAGGCGACUGUCUGGGCUAUAACUGACACUGAGGCACAAAAGCAUGGGGAGCAAACAGG